GACGAACGCUGGCGGCGUGCUUAACACAUGCAAGUCGAGCGGUAAGGCCCUUUCGGGGUACGACGAGCGGCGAACGGGUGAGUAACACGUGGGUGACCUGCCCUCAGCUCUGGGAUAAGCCUGGGAAACUGGGUCUAAUACUGGAUAUGACUCCACGGUGCAUGUCGUGGGGUGGAAAGCCUUGUGCGGCUGAGGAUGGGCCCGCGGCCUAUCAGCUUGUU
rnacentral:rRNA from 1 species